rnacentral:rRNA from 1 species
AUUGAACGCUGGCGGCAUGCCUUACACAUGCAAGUCGAACGCGAAAGGGAGCAAUCCUGAGUAGAGUGGCGAACGGGUGAGUAAUGCAUCGGAACGUGUCCCGUAGUGGGGGAUAACCCAUCGAAAGGUGGGCUAAUACCGCAUACGACCUGAGGGAGAAAGCCGGGGAUCGCAAGACCUGGCGCUAUGGGAGCGGCCGAUGUCCGAUUAGCUAGUUGGUGGGGUAAAAGCCUACCAAGGCGACGAUCGGUAGCUGGUCUGAGAGGAUGAUCAGCCACACUGGGACUGAGACACGGGCCCAGACUCCUACGGGAGGCAGCAGUGGGGAAUUUUGGACAAUGGGGGAAACCCUGAUCCAGCCAUGCCGCGUGAGUGAAGAAGGCC